UACAGAGGUCCCGAGCGUUGUUCGGAUUCAUUGGGCGUAAAGGGUGCGUAGGCGGCGAGGCCAGUCUGAUGUGAAAUCCCGGGGCUCAACCCCGGAACUGCAUUGGAUACUGCCUUGCUCGAGUACUGGAGAGGGAACUGGAAUUUACGGUGUAGCAGUGAAAUGCGUAGAGAUCGUAAGGAAGGCCAGUGGCGAAGGCGAGUUCCUGGACAGUUACUGACGCUGAGGCACGAAGGCCAGGGGAGCAAACGGG
rnacentral:rRNA from 1 species